AUGGGACGGGACCGGAGGAGCCGCCGCGUGGCUGUGACGGGGUUGGUGGCUGCUGGAGGAGGAGAGAUGCUCUGGGAAAUGGACUGCUCAGGCCUCCAGGGCCUCGGUGAUGUCUGGAAGAUGGCUAUGGAGGACUUUUUCCCCCAUCUUGUGGACCUAAGGAUUUUGAUAUUGAUUUAUGGACUUAGGUUUCAUGGCUUCAGAGGGGCGUCGAGUUGCAGCGGGGCGGCAGCGCCGGAGAGGGGCCCCCGGGGCCGCUCCCCCUCCUCCCACCGCAGGAUGCUCCGGGAGGUCCCGCAGCGCCCCGGUCCCCCCGAGCCGCGGCGUGUCCCGGGCCAGCCCUACCCUGUCCUGUACAUAACCAGUGAGAUGUCUGUAAAAGAUUUCAACCCUUGGAAUUUUUUUUUUUUUUUGCUCCCCUCUCCCCUUCCCCCUCCCCUUCUUCCCCAAUUUGUUGAUUGUGUUGAAAUUGUCGCAGUUUGUAACAGUAUCUUUCAGAGAAUAUUGUACUAAAGAGAAAAUUGCACUCAAUAAAAAGGAUGAAAUAAGCCUGGUCCCUCGCCUUCCCCUUCCCCGGGGCAGCCUUCCUGCUGCCGGCCUCUCUUCAGCGCGGAGCUGGGGGAGUGUUCGCCAUGAAUAUUCAUUUGGGGAACUGGCAGCGCUCCACCGCUCCUUGACUUACCUCGAAUGUUGAUGUCUAUCAGAUUUGGCUCCCCGGUUUGUAAAUGAAGUGACUUUAUUCUUGGCGAUCCCUAUCGCAGCUUGCUCGCAGCAGAAAAGCCGGGAGAAGGAGUUUUCCUGGCACGGGUGUUGGUGCGGAGCGCGUUUCAAAGCCCUCGUGUGCGAUCGCUCAGGGAAGCCGCGCUGGAAGCGCUGGCUGGGAUCAAAGCGCCGUCCCUGCUGGCUCCGCGCGUCCCCAGUCCCGCUGGAGCCUGUCCAUGCAAAGGCUGAUGCUCCUCUUGAGCCUGCUUUCCUUAAGGCUUACUGUAAAUGAUGGCUGGAAAAUGGAUUCUUCCUCGUGCAUUGGCUGCGCUUGGGCACUUUGUCCUGCUGGGAUCAAUGACACAGCCCGUCCGGCUCUGCCACACGCGCUCCUGGGGUGGUCCUGUGCAGGACUUGGCCUCCAUGGUCCUCGUGGGUCCCUUCCGCCUCAGGCUAUUCUGUGAUUCUCGGAUCCAGGUGAUGCUGAGAGCAG
rnacentral:lncRNA from 1 species